UUUAAAGUCUGACCUGCCCACUGAAAUUUUUUAAAUGGCCGCAGUAUACUAACUGUGCAAAGGUAGCAUAAUCAUUAGUCUUUUAAUUGAAGGCUGGUAUGAAUGGUUGGACGAGAUAUUAACUGUUUCAUAAAAAUUUAUAAUAGAAUUUUAUUUUUUAGUCAAAAAGCUAAAAUUUAUUUAAAAGACGAGAAGACCCUAUAAAUCUUUAUAUUUAUAUUAUUAUAAUUUUGUAGAUUUUUUUUGUUAUGAUAAUAGAUUAUAUUUUAUUGGGGUGAUAUUAAAAUUUAAUAAACUUUUAAUUGUUUAAAUCAUUAAUUUAUGAAUAAUUGAUCCGUUAUUAGCGAUUAAAAAAACAAGUUACUUUAGGGAUAACAGCGUAAUUUUUUUGGAGAGUUCAUAUCGAUAAAAAAGAUUGCGACCUCGAUGUUGGAUUAAGAUAUAAUUUUAGGUGUAGCCGCUUAAAUUUUAAGUCUGUUCGACUUUUAAAUUCUUACGUGAUCUGAGUUCAGACCGGA
rnacentral:rRNA from 1 species